rnacentral:rRNA from 1 species
AGACCCGAAACCCGGUGAUCUAGCCAUGGGCAGGUUGAAGGUUGGGUAACACUAACUGGAGGACCGAACCGACUAAUGUUGAAAAAUUAGCGGAUGACCUGUGGCUGGGGGUGAAAGGCCAAUCAAACCGGGAGAUAGCUGGUUCUCCCCGAAAGCUAUUUAGGUAGCGCCUCGUGAAUUCAUCUCCGGGGGUAGAGCACUGUUUCGGCUAGGGGGCCAUCCCGGCUUACCAACCCGAUGCAAACUGCGAAUACCGGAGAAUGUUAUCACGGGAGACACACGGCGGGUGCUAACGUCCGUCGUGAAGAGGGAAACAACCCAGACCGCCAGCUAAGGUCCCAAAGUCAUGGUUAAGUGGGAAACGAUGUGGGAAGGCCCAGACAGCCAGGAUGUUGGCUUAGAAGCAGCCAUCAUUUAAAGAAAGCGUAAUAGCUCACUGGUCGAGUCGGCCUGCGCGGAAGAUGUAACGGGGCUAAACCAUGCACCGAAGCUGCGGCAGCGAACGUAUCACCCAAGACAACUUUACGGAGUUGGCGAUUGACGGAGCGAAGCGACGUCAAAGCGUUCAUUAAAGUCGAGUUGGCUUAGGGAUACGUUCGUUGGGUAGGGGAGCGUUCUGUAAGCCUGUGAAGGUGUGUCGUGAGGCAUGCUGGAGGUAUCAGAAGUGCGAAUGCUGACAUAAGUAACGAUAAAGCGGGUGAAAAGCCCGCUCGCCGGAAGACCAAGGGUUCCUGUCCAACGUUAAUCGGGGCAGGGUGAGUCGACCCCUAAGGCGAGGCCGAAAGGCGUAGUCGAUGGGAAACGGGUUAAUAUUCCCGUACUUGGUGUUACUGCGAAGGGGGGACGGAGAAGGCUAUGUUGGCCGGGCGACGGUUGUCCCGGUUUAAGCGUGUAGGUGUGUGUUCCAGGUAAAUCCGGUUCACUUUAACACUGAGGCGUGACGACGAGGCACUACGGUGCUGAAGCAACAAAUGCCCUGCUUCCAGGAAAAGCCUCUAAGCAUCAGGUAACACGAAAUCGUACCCCAAACCGACACAGGUGGUCAGGUAGAGAAUACCAAGGCGCUUGAGAGAACUCGGGUGAAGGAACUAGGCAAAAUGGUGCCGUAACUUCGGGAGAAGGCACGCUGACACGUAGGUGAAGUGAUUUACUCAUGGAGCUGAAGUCAGUCGAAGAUACCAGCUGGCUGCAACUGUUUAUUAAAAACACAGCACUGUGCAAACACGAAAGUGGACGUAUACGGUGUGACGCCUGCCCGGUGCCGGAAGGUUAAUUGAUGGGGUCAGCGUAAGCGAAGCUCCUGAUCGAAGCCCCGGUAAACGGCGGCCGUAACUAUAACGGUCCUAAGGUAGCGAAAUUCCUUGUCGGGUAAGUUCCGACCUGCACGAAUGGCGUAAUGAUGGCCAGGCUGUCUCCACCCGAGACUCAGUGAAAUUGAACUCGCUGUGAAGAUGCAGUGUACCCGCGGCAAGACGGAAAGACCCCGUGAACCUUUACUAUAGCUUGACACUGAACAUUGAGCCUUGAUGUGUAGGAUAGGUGGGAGGCUUUGAAGUGUGGACGCCAGUCUGCAUGGAGCCGACCUUGAAAUACCACCCUUUAAUGUUU